UUCUAUUCCUCGCGGUGAUGAUAACAACCGCAGACGGAAGAUAUGGCUCCACAGAAUCGGGCGCAAGGAUUUCGUGCCCACUGAAAAUACCCGGCUAUGCGAGGACCACUUUGAUGUUGAAGCAUUUGAGCAAUUAAUCCUACAAAGCUCUGGCCAGAAGAAACUGAAGCCGUAUGCCAUGCCGAGCAUCUUUACUCAUCUGAACUAUAAAACAAGCACUUUCAGUUGACCCA